UACGAAGGGGGCUAGCGUUGUUCGGAAUUACUGGGCGUAAAGGGCUCGUAGGUGGCCAACUAAGUCAGAUGUGAAAUCCCCAGGCUCAACUUGGGAACUGCGUCUGAUACUGGAUGGCUUGAAUUCGGGAGAGGGAUGCAGAAUUCCAGGUGUAGCGGUGAAAUGCGUAGAUAUCUGGAGGAAUACCGGUGGCGAAGGCGGCAUCCUGGACCGAGAUUGACACUGAUGAGCGAAAGCUAGGGGAGCAAACGGG
rnacentral:rRNA from 1 species